UACGUAGGGCGCAAGCGUUGUCCGGAAUUAUUGGGCGUAAAGAGCUCGUAGGCGGCUUGUUGCGUCGACUGUGAAAACCCGUGGCUCAACCAUGUGGUCUGCAGUCGAUACGGGCAGGCUAGAAUUCGGUAGGGGAGACUGGAAUUCCUGGUGUAGCGGUGAAAUGCGCAGAUAUCAGGAGGAACACCGGUGGCGAAGGCGGGUCUCUGGGCCGAUAUUGACGCUGAGGAGCGAAAGCGUGGGGAGCGAACAGG
rnacentral:rRNA from 1 species